AUGACCACAGUUUCAUUCACAUUAAGGCAAUAUUCAGAUACAGUUUUAUAAUAAAUCCAACUGUAUUAUAAACACAAACUACCUCUGGACUGCCAACAUGGAGAGACAUAUGCUGCUCAUGAUUCUCAUUGUAGUUACAGGUGGAUUUGCUGACAGAAUUGGACCAAGAGAAGGAAAUACUAAUAUAAUGAAGGGAGAAGGAGAGUCUGUGACACUGAGCUGUUCAUAUGAUAUAAGCAGCAAUAAUGUUUAUCUUUACUGGUACAGACAGUAUCCAAAAGGAGAACCUCAGUAUUUACUGUGGAAAGGUGCUCGAUCAGAGAGUGGUUAUGAGGAUAUAUCAGACCGUCGGUUUCGGUCAACAACAUCCCAAUCAUCCACUGAACUCAUUAUUGAUAAAGCAGCUCUGUCAGAUUCAGCUCUCUAUUAUUGUGCUCUAAGAGUAGUUGCCCAGUGAUACAAAAUGCCUGAGAAGCUUUACAAAAACUCAAAUACACAAUGUGCUUUAAACAGUCUUUAAUCUAACAGCAUCAAACCACAAUUUAUUAUUUUUUUGUAAACCACAGCUCUGGAAAUACCACUGUGGCAACACCUGUGAAUAUGGCAGAUUAUGAAAGGUUAUAUAUGGGGCAUGUGAAACUAUCAUUAAGCAUUUGUUUUUCUAAAUAUGUUAUUUAAAAAUCAUUCAGUGAACAAAGGGAAUGGAAUUUGUUAAACUAAAAAAUUAACAAAAACUAACAUACAAAUAAGAAAACAUAAAAAUACAUUUUUUUUUCUGAAGUAGUUCUCUGUUUAUUAUCUUCUAUUUUCUUACCCCAUUGGCAGGUUUUUUUUUUUUUUUUAACUUAAACUCACUGAAUUUUGAAAAAUUAUUCAGAAAACGACUUUUUGUUGACAAGUCGUUUUGUUUCUUGAGUAAAUGUUUCUUGAUUUAACAAUUUUAAGAUAUUUGUAACUAAAAUACAGAGCUAAGCCCAACGUAGACUUCACUCUUUGCAUGAUGCAAGUUUCAUCAUCAGAAGAGUAUGUGUGUAC